rnacentral:rRNA from 1 species
CAGUAGCCGCGGUAAUACGAAGGGUGCAAGCGUUAAUCGGAAUUACUGGGCGUAAAGCGUGCGUAGGUGGUGGUUUAAGUCCGUUGUGAAAGCCCUGGGCUCAACCUGGGAAUUGCAGUGGAUACUGGAUCACUAGAGUGUGGUAGAGGAUAGUGGAAUUUCCGGUGUAGCAGUGAAAUGCGUAGAGAUCGGAAGGAACAUCUGUGGCGAAGGCGACUAUCUGGGCCAACACUGACACUGAGGCACGAAAGCGUGGGGAGCAAACAGGAUUAGAGACCCCCGUAGUCCCUGUCUCUUAUAC